UUAUAUAAUCCGAUCUGACCUGAUCUAUUUUCUCUCGACAUCAAGUCUGAUUUGGUCAGCAGCCCAAACCUGAUAGAUCAAGAUCAGAUUGGACUAGAUAUACAGGCUGUUUGUGUAUCACUUUUAUAUCCCAAAUAAUUUUUUUUUAUGUUUUUUAAAUAUCUGCCCUGGUCUCUGGGCUACUGGUCUGUGCAGUGAACUCUGAAGUACUGUUGGAACUUUUCUUCCUCAGUCUAACCCUCUAACAUCGAACAUG
rnacentral:lncRNA from 1 species